rnacentral:rRNA from 1 species
UGGAGCGUGCGGUUUAAUUGGAUUCAACGCCGGAAAACUCACCGGGGGCGACGCUUACAUGAAGGCCAGGCUAAUGACCUUGCCUGAUUUUGCGAGAGGUGGUGCAUGGCCGUCGUCAGUUCGUACCGUAAGGCGUUCUGUUAAGUCAGAUAACGAACGAGACCCUCACCCUUAAUUGCCAGCUUACUCUCCGGAGUGAGAGCACAUUAAGGGGACCGCUGGUGCUAAAUCAGAGGAAGGAGAGGUCAACGGUAGGUCAGUAUGCCCCGAAUCUCCCGGGCUACACGCGCGCUACAAAGGACAGGACAAUGGGAUGCAACACCGAAAGGUGAAGCGGACCCCGAAACCUGUCCGUAGUUCGGAUUGAGGGCUGUAACUCGCCCUCAUGAAGCUGGAAUCCGUAGUAAUCGCGGGUCAACAUCCCGCGGUGAAUAUGCCCCUGCUCCCUGCACACACCGCCCGUCAAACCAUCUUAGUUGGGUCUGGACGAGGGUGCGCCUUCUGGCGCGUUCGAAUCUGGGUUCAGCAAGGAGGGUUAAGUCGUAACAAGGUAUCCGUA